GCAGAUACGCCCACGUGCACAGGACGAGUGCGCCGCCGAGCCCCGGGCUGCUCCUGCCCAGGGUGUGCAUUUGAACUGCAAAGCUUUAAAUAAGAAAAGUAAACUUGGGACUUGAAGCAAGAGUGCACGCUUGCGGGGCUUCAACCCCGGUGGGCUGUGUGCACUACUCCGUGCAUAACGCGCCAGAGGGGUCGCCAAGCAGGAAGCCUGGGCGAACGUUUUACUCCUUAAUUGGGAAGAUGGGGCCCAUACCCACACCCCUCGGGAGGUUACAGAGGGAACUUGCACAGGGAAAAUGAGCGUGGGGGCGCGGAAACACACUCUACAGCACGGAAUCCCACCCAGACGGUGCACGUUCAAUUUUAAAUGUGACUGUCCAAGUAGAGUCAGUUUGGGGAAGCUCGAUGAAAAGUGAACGUAUGGGUAUUUUACGCAUGAAAUCUGUUCAAACUGGCAUAGGACUCUAGUGUCGGGGUGUCCCCGCUGUGGGAGGUUCCUCUGGAGAUCUCUAGCUCUAGGUGGCCCCCAUAACCUACCCAGUCUCAACUCCUAAGGGGUUAACCCAAGCGGAUUCCGAGGGGCCACACAGCCCCCUACACCCCGUUACUCUCACCCACUCCGAUCCUUGUCGGAGACCCUCGCCCCUCAGCCCACCCACGUGAGUCCGUGGCCCCUUACCUGCGGUCCAGGGACGCCGGCCUCCUGUGAAGCUGGAGUGUCUGUCUGCCCCCGCACGUGUUCGCCCCGCGGAGCAGGUCCUCGUAAGCUUCAAGAGAGCAAGACUUUGGUGGUUCAAACCCAGGCUCUGUCACUAGUUAGCUUUGUGUGCUUGGGCAUGCAUGUAAAACAGUCCCUGUCUGGAUGGACCUGCGCCUGCAGCGGGAAGUUCACUGGUCAAUUACCUGCUGACUGAAGCGGCCUAUUUUCUUCUGACCCCUGCCCCUCUCUUCCCCUCUCCGCCCUGAAAGCUGUUUGGCAUAGGGAGGUCUUGACCUGAGGAAACCAUUUUGGGUAACCAGGGCAAGGAAGGGGAAUAUGCAACACCUAGGAGAUUUCAGCAAACAGUAGAAUCAUGCCAACGUAAUCUGUGUUAAAAUGCUUGGAAUGUGGGAGCCGCUGGUGAUGUCUGUUGUCUGUGUGUCUCCAGGAAUCCUUUCUUUUUUAAGCGCAGCAAAGCCAAGCCUGGGAACCAGGCCAAGCGCCUGCCACUUACCUUAAAUUGAUCAGCCACUUUGAGAUUAAAACCCCUGAAAGCUGCCGCUCAGUGAAAGCAAGGCCUCUUUCACAUUAAAGGCAAAUUGCGACUGUG
rnacentral:lncRNA from 1 species